rnacentral:rRNA from 1 species
CUUGACUGUAGCUUGGAAUUGGGUUCGGGCUCUUCUUGCGCAGCCUAGGUGGGAGGCUAUGAAAGCAGACUUUUGGGUUUGCUGGAGCCAACAGUGAGAGACCACUCUGGGAGAGCUAGAAUUCUAAUGGCGUUCUUUGAAGCAAGACGCUUGACAGUUUCAGGUGGGCAGUUUGACUGGGGCGGUCACCUCCUAAAAGGUAACGGAGGUGUGCAAAGGUUCCCUCAGGCUGGACGGAAAUCAGCCGUAGAGUGUAAAGGCAGAAGGGAGCUUGACUGCAAGACCUACAAGUCGAGCAGGGGCGAAAGCCGGCCUUAGUGAUCCGACGGUUCCGUGUGGAAGGGCCGUCGCUAAACGGAUAAAAGUUA